UGGGGAAUUUUGGACAAUGGGCGAAAGCCUGAUCCAGCAAUGCCGCGUGUGUGAAGAAGGCCUUCGGGUUGUAAAGCACUUUUGUCCGGAAAGAAAUCCUUGGCUCUAAUACAGUCGGGGGAUGACGGUACCGGAAGAAUAAGCACCGGCUAACUACGUGCCAGCAGCCGCGGUAAUACGUAGGGUGCAAGCGUUAAUCGGAAUUACUGGGCGUAAAGCGUGCGCAGGCGGUUUGCUAAGACCGAUGUGAAAUCCCCGGGCUCAACCUGGGAACUGCAUUGGUGACUGGCAGGCUAGAGUAUGGCAGAGGGGGGUAGAAUUCCACGUGUAGCAGUGAAAUGCGUAGAGAUGUGGAGGAAUACCGAUGGCGAAGGCAGCCCCCUGGGCCAAUACUGACGCUCAUGCACGAAAGCGUGGGGAGCAAAACAGGAUUAGAUACCCCUGGUAGUCCACGCCCUAAACGAUGUCAACUAGUUGUUGGGGAUUCAUUUCCUUAGUAACGUAGCUAACGCGUGAAGUUGACCGCCUGGGGAGUACGGUCGC
rnacentral:rRNA from 1 species